GCGGGUUUGUGGGCGAUUCGAAGAGGCGAGGGUCGGUUCUUCAUCUUCCUCUUCGUUACUCUCCUAAUCGGACAAUGAAGUGGAGGAUGCUCGAUCUACUAACAACUCUAACUUUGCAACGACUUCUAGCUUGAAUCAUUAGUGUCAACCCCCGUUCCUCUUACUAUGUCUUCUCAAUCUCGAAGUUGUUCGUGAAAGCUAACAAAUACUGCUAACAAGGCAAAUUAGAAAUUUACAACUGAAUUAAGUGUUUGAUGAUUUCAAAUUGUGCUAGCAAGAGCUAUAAAAAUGGUGAACUGAAGUCUACGUCGGUGUUGAUUGCAUCUGUCAGGUUCUUGAGAUACAACCAUUGACGCAGAAGGCUUGGACGCUUGGUGUCCCGGAGGUUCUCGUUGCUUGAGUUGUUAUGCUCUUUGUGGUGUUCUCAGACUGUUGAAUAGGUGGAAAAGAAGGAAUGACCUGAGGUUAUGGUGACAUCACAUUGAGAAACGUUGAUGCACAUCCAUGAACUGAACAUUGGCCCUAUCAAUUGAAAUGUGCUUUUUCUACUGCUCCUUAGUCUGUUGAUGUCUACUUCAAGAUUCUCGUCAUAGAAACCAAAAGGUUGGUUUUUUUAUGCUUUUGUUUUUCUGUUUGUUGGCUGAAUGGUUUAUUGAGAUUUGGUCGUUUUUGUGAUAACUUUGAAAGCUUUACUGUUUUUUGGUGAGGUUGAGGGUAAGCUCAUGGCAGUUGGUGAGCUUUCAGCGGAUGGAAGAUGGUGUUAAAUAGUGCUUUCAACAGAUGGGGGAUGAUGUUAUAUACUUUUUAGGUUGCAGUGAGGGAGCUCGAAAUGCCAAUAUUUCGGUAGAGGUUGUAAGUUUGAGAUCCGAAGAAGAGGAGAGGGAGAGAGUUUGCGGUUUUGGUUUGGUGAUCGAAUGGGAGUGUAAGGGAGAGUGAAUAGAGAGAAGUGUAGAAGAAGAAAGUAACUUCUUGCUUUAUUUAGUUCAUGGUUACAAUCUAAAUAUAGGCAUAUACAAAGAGAAUAUCCUACCUAAGAUGCUAAACACACAUACACAAGGUGAAAGCGACAUGACCUAGAUGUCACAUGUGAUCUUUGUUUGGCCUCCCACUUGCACCAACUCGCCAACGGAUCAAUGAGAAGGAUCUCGAAGCUUUGUGACCGUUAGGAGAUGUUGUCCUUCAUGGACCGACAUUGUAAGGCCUCUAACUGUACGGACGGCCCAUAAGGUUUGGUUGUACGGACGUACGGACGGUGAUAUGUGUUUCCAUAGAGGUAACACUAAAGUUCAAUACAACAAAGAGAUCAACAACCUCGUCAACCAUAACUCUUACAAGCACUUUAGUAUUGUUCAACUGUUGCUCACUUAUACAGUAAGAAACUAUCUAUUUCUACAUACUAUAAUCAUAUGUUAGGCAUUAAAUGAAUUG